ensembl:lncRNA
UUGGCAUCCCAGGCUGCAAGCACACACUACUGGCUCAUGAUCAGUUUCUCAUCUACCAGGACCCCUAAGUCCUCCUCUGCAGGGAUAUUCUCUAAGAGUUAUUCUCCUGGUCUGUCCUCAUAUCUGGGAUUGCCCCGACACAGGUGCAACACUGCAAGCCAGCCACUGUGAUGAUAACAAGGAAGAACAACAAAUGUAAGAGCUGCAGGUGCAUAAGCAGGUGUUUGAAAGCGCGUGGCUCAGUUUUCUUUUUCACUGAGAGGAUGAUGUGGCACUGGAACAGGCUGCCCAGAGAAGUUGUGGAUGCCGCAUCCCCGGAGGUGUUCAAGGCCAGGUUGGAUGGGGUCCUGGGCUACUUGGUCUAGGACUUGACCUAGAGAUUGGCAACUCCAAGUGUGACGGGGGAGAUGGCACUUACUGAUUCUUGAGGUCCCUUCCAACCCAAGCAUUCUACGAUUCUGUUAUUGCAUUCCUCCAAACCACAAGUAAGCCACUGUUCUUCACAAAGAAGUUCCUGUUGUUCACCAUGACUCCAUCCUGCUUAUAUGAAUGAACCCACCCUCACGAUAGACUUCUUGAGAGUGGCCUGUGGCAUAGGUGAAGUCAUCUAGCCUUACGUGGAUUCCUUCUUCUGGUUCAUCAGCAUAAUAUGGAAUACUCUGGCUUACAUAAAGCUAUACCGUCUUCCUAUAUAUAUAGCCCUUUUUUUUUUUUUCCAUUUGGCUGAUCUGCUUUUUUAUUCAGCCCACUGCCUGGCACACCCGGUAGCAGAAGUGGAGUGGGGCCAUUCUCCUGGCCAGGGGCUUCGCUGUGACCUAGGGCUGCAGCUCACAUCUUGUGGGGACGAUUUCUCUGUCUCUCUGUCCUCUGCUUCCAGCAAUGUAGAAGGAAAGAUCUUCCCAUUCUUUGAGUGCUUGGAGUCCACAGGCACCAAGGCAGCAGGAGUCAGUGUCUCCUACUGGGGAACAUCAUGGGACUUUGCAGAGGGUCACACUGGCUGCCCUGGUUGGCGUAGACUCAGCAGGAAUACUUCACAGGCACCAUGGCCCUGAGCCCAAGCCCACUGUCCCCAAGAAGUGCCCCAGCCCAACACUGUGCCCUUGUGCUCUGCUUAUCCAGUCAGCCUCAGAGAGAUGUCCCAAAUAUGGG